ACACUUUGUAAACUUCUUGUACCUUGUUCUAGGUUCUUCGUGAUAAUACGUAUAACCAUGUCGAGAAAUGCCUUGUUAGCUACGGUAACAUAAUAUUAUUUCUAUGAGAUCCCAUAUCGGUCGGAGAGGAAAACGAAACAGUCUUUGUAAUGUGGUAUACGCGUUUUAAAAU